CCUACGGGAGGCAGCAGUGGGGAAUAUUGCGCAAUGGGCGAAAGCCUGACGCAGCGACGCCGCGUGAGGGUUGAAGCUCUUCGGAUCGUAAACCUCUGUCAGCAGGGAAGAACGGUCACUGUGCUAAUCAGCAGUGAAUUGACGGUACCUGCAAAGGAAGCAACGGCUAACCCCGUGCCAGCGGCGGCGGUAAUACGGAGGGUGAGAGCGUUAAUCGGAAUUACUGGGCGUAAAGCGGUCGUAGGCGGUAUGUCAAGUCAAGGGUGAAAUCCCCGCGCUCAACGGGGGAACUGCCUUUGAAACUGGCAAGCUGGAGUGCGUGUGAGGAUAGUGGAAUUUCUGGUGUAGGGGUGAAAUGCGUAGAUAUC
rnacentral:rRNA from 1 species